UACGUAGGGGGCAAGCGUUGUCCGGAAUCACUGGGCGUAAAGCGCGCGCAGGCGGCGAUCUACGUCCGGGGUGAAAGCCCAGAGCUCAACUCUGGGACUGCCUUGGAUACGGGAUCGCUUGAGGAUCGGAGAGGCAAGGGGAAUUCCACGUGUAGCGGUGAAAUGCGUAGAGAUGUGGAGGAACACCUGUGGCGAAGGCGCCUUGCUGGCCGAUUUCUGACGCUGAGGCGCGAAAGCGUGGGGAGCAAAUAGG
rnacentral:rRNA from 1 species